rnacentral:rRNA from 1 species
AUUGAACGCUAGCGGGAUGCUUUACACAUGCAAGUCGAACGAGUGGCGGACGUGUGAGUAAUAUAUCGGAACGUGCCCAGUAGCGGGGGAUACCUACUCGAAAGAGUGGCUAAUACCGCAUCCUACUGCUGCUGCCGAGAUCGGAUUAUCUAGUUGGUGGGGUAAAGGCUCACCAAGGCAACGAUCCGUAGCUGGUUUGAGAGGACGACCAGCCACACUGGGACUGAGACACGGCCCAGACUCCUACGGGAGGCAGCAGUGGGGAAUUUUGGACAAUGGGGGAAACCCUGAUCCAGCCAUCCCGCGUGUAUGAGAAGGCCUUCGGGUUGUAAAGUACUUUUGGCAGAGAAGCGGUAUCUGCAGAAUAAGCACCGGCGAACUACGUGCCAGCCGCCGCGGUAAUUC